rnacentral:rRNA from 1 species
UACGUAGGGGGCAAGCGUUGUCCGGAAUCAUUGGGCGUAAAGCGCGUGUAGGCGGUUCAGUAAGUCUGCUGUGAAAGUCCAGGGCUCAACCCUGGGAUGCCGGUGGAUACUGCUGGGCUAGAGUACGGAAGAGGCGAGUGGAAUUCCCGGUGUAGCGGUGAAAUGCGCAGAUAUCGGGAGGAACACCAAUUGCGAAGGCAGCUCGCUGGGACGGUACUGACGCUGAGACGCGAAAGCGUGGGGAGCGAACAGG